GAUCCUGGCUCAGAAUCAACGCUGGCGGCGUGCCUCAGACAUGCAAGUCGAACGAUUAAAGCUCCCUUCGGGGAGUGCAUAAAGUGGCGCACGGGUGAGUAACACGUAAGUAAUCUACCUUCGAGUGGGGAAUAACCCGGGGAAACCCGAGCUAAUACCGCAUAAUGCAGCGGCACCUAAUGGUGACAGUUGUUAAAGGAGCAAUCCGCUUGAAGAGGAGCUUGCGGCAGAUUAGCUAGUUGGUAAGGUAACGGCUUACCAAGGCAACGAUCUGUAUCCGGUCUAAGAGGACGGUCGGACACACUGACACUGAAUAACGGGUCAGACUCCUACGGGAGGCAGCAG
rnacentral:rRNA from 2 species